rnacentral:rRNA from 2 species
GUGCAAGUUUUGCAUGGCGAAUUGUAGUCUAUAGAGGCGAUGUCAGUGCAGCUAUUUGGGGUAAGUUCCUUGGAAGAGGACAGCAUCGAGGGUGAUACUCCCGUUUGUACCUGAGUAGCUUGUGCGUACGACACGUUUUCUUCGAGUCGCGUUGUUUGGGAAUGCAGCGCAAAGUAGGUGGUAAAUUCCAUCUAAAGCUAAAUAUUGGUGCGAGACCGAUAGCGAACAAGUACCGUGAGGGAAAGAUGAAAAGAACUUUGAAAAGAGAGUUAAAGAGUACCUGAAACUGCUGAAAGGGAAUCGAAUCGUUUCCAGUGUCUAUAAUCCAUGGCAUAUUUCAUUGUCGACUUGUUGCGUGCAGUGCGUAGGAAGUAGUUUAUUCUGCUCCUUGUAUUGUUUUGCGAUGUGUUGGUGGUGCCCUGUGUCGUGGUGGGACGUCAGAGUCAGUUCGUAUGCUGCGGGAAAUGGCUGCCGAGGAGGUAGGUUGAGCGCUUGCGUUUAGCUGUUAUAUCUUGGUGUGCUAGUGGUCGUGGUUGGGACUGAGGUGCCUACAACGUGCUUUAAAGUCUUGUGGGGUCUCAUGUGGUAACGUGCUAGGAUAGCUUGCUAUGUUGGUGUGUUUAUUGUGUGAUUGAUGCUGCUUGUAACUUUUGCCGUUCGGGACUUUGACGAAAUGGAGCGAUUCGGCCCGUCUUGAAACACGGACCAAGGAGUCUAACAUGUGUGCAAGUGUUAGGGUGUGGAAACCCCAGCGCGAAAUGAAAGUAAAGGGUAGCGUUCGCUGCCUGAGGUAGGAAACCUUUGUUCUCAGAGGUGGCACUAUCGACCGAUCAUGMCUUCGUGGUGAAAGAUUUGAGUAUGAGCACAUAUGUUGGUACCCGAAAGAUGGUGAACUAUGCCUGAGUAGGGUGAAGCCAGGGGAAACUCUGGUGGAAGCUCGUAGCGAUUCUGACGUGCAAAUCGAUCGUCAAACUUGGGUAUAGGGGCGAAAGACUAAUCGAACCAUCUAGUAGCUGGUUCCCUCCGAAAUUUCCCUCAGGAUAGCAGCAACUUAUUUACGAUAGUUUUAUGAGGUAAAGCGAAUGAUUAGAGGACUCGGGGAAGAAACUUCCUU